CGCCGGCGUCAGCAGACUGCACGGCUGCCGCCGCGGUUGAGACUGUGGCUGGGGUGCUCCGCCACCGCCGUCGUCGCAGCCAUGGCUCAGUACAAGGGCGCCGCGAGCGAGGCGGGCCGUGCCAUGCACCUGAUGAAGAAGCGGGAGAAGCAGCGCGAGCAGAUGGAGCAGAUGAAACAGCGGAUUGCCGAGGAGAACAUAAUGAAAUCCAACAUUGACAAGAAGUUCUCUGCACACUAUGAUGCUGUGGAGGCAGAGCUCAAGUCCAGCACUGUGGGUCUUGUGACCCUAAAUGACAUGAAGGCCAAGCAGGAGGCUCUCGUGAAGGAGCGGGAGAAGCAGCUGGCCAAGAAGGAACAGUCAAAGGAGCUACAGCUGAAACUGGAGAAGCUGCGAGAGAAGGCACGCAAGAAGGAGGCCGAGCGAAAGAUCUCCAGCCUGUCCUUCACCCUGGAGGAAGAGUGGGAGGCAGGCGAGGAGGGGGACGAGGCGGCCCUGUACGAGGAGGAGCUGGAGAGGGAAGAGAUCACCACAAAGAAGAGGAAAUUGGGGAAGAACCCAGAUGUGGACACGAGCUUCUUGCCUGACCGAGACCGCGAGGAGGAGGAGAAUCGGCUCCGGGAAGAGCUGCGCCAAGAGUGGGAAGCCAAGCAGGAGAAGAUCAAGAGUGAGGAAAUUGAAAUCACCUUCAGUUACUGGGAUGGUUCUGGGCACCGGCGGACAGUCAAGAUGAAAAAGGGCAACACGAUGCAGCAUUUCCUGCAGAAAGCACUUGAGAUCCUGCGCAAAGACUUCAGUGAGCUCAGGUCAGCAGGGGUGGAGCAGCUCAUGUACAUCAAGGAGGACCUAAUCAUACCCCACCACCACAGCUUCUAUGACUUCAUCGUUACCAAGGCGCGGGGGAAGAGCGGGCCACUCUUUAAUUUUGAUGUUCAUGAUGAUGUGAGGCUGCUCAGUGACGCCACGGUGGAGAAGGACGAGUCGCACGCGGGCAAGGUGGUGCUGAGGAGCUGGUAUGAGAAGAACAAGCACAUCUUCCCUGCCAGUCGCUGGGAGCCCUACGACCCCGAGAAGAAGUGGGACAAGUACACGAUCCGGUGAGUGCAGGCUGGCGGCGCCACCCCAGCUCCUUGGCUCCAGCCCAGCCUGUCCCUGCGUCUCCAGCGUCCGGCCGCGAGCUUUCCUGUGUGAUGUUGCCGUUCAGAGAUGUUCCAGGAACCCUGAAGAGGGAAUCAUCUGACCUUCUGCAUCGACCCCUGCUACCCUCUUUGAGAAGCCAUCAGAACAGCACGGUUUUCUCAGGGAAGCCCAGGAGCCCCUCUCAGCCAGGUCACCUAAGGGCAGAUGAUUUUCAACGGAGCCACCUUUGGCCCCACAAUUUCUGGAAACAAGCUCCCUGAGGCCCAAUCUUGGGGCUUGGCAGGGAAGGACCUGGUUUUUGGAAGCAGCCCUAAGUCCCUGGGAGGUUGGGUAGUCAGUGAGGGUAGCCCUUUGGAGUCAGGAUCCAGGGGACUGUCAAGGAAAGAUACCUACUUCCUUUUGGCAACAAAGGGCCAGAAAGGCUGCACCAGGGCCAGGGGUCCAAGGGAGGAGCACCUUGUCCUAAGUAAGGGCUGUGGUGGCAGGCUGGCAGCUGAGCUGGAAGAAGGUCAGCAGAGCAAGCUUCUUGCAGAAGGUCCGCUUGGCCACCAGUGCCGGGUGGCCUCAGGCACCCAUGUUCCUGCUUGCUGCCAUAGGCCGCGUUCCUGCCAGAAGGGAGCUGUCCAGGCCUAGGAGCCCUCUCCCUGGGAUGCUGGAUCCACGUGAGUGAGGAGCUCAGAGGAGAGGUUGGGGAGCUGGGACCUUGAUUAUGAUGAUGCUCUAGAACUUCAUAGGGCCACUGAGAUCACUGAGUGGUUGCCAGUAUUUCCAGGGACCAGUGUGGGCUAGGGGUAGGCUAGGCACCAAAGAUACAAUGGAGAGGGGAAAGCUGGCCCUACCUUGCUCACCCAGGCUUCGUUCCUGGUGUGUGUCUGGCUGGGGGGUGGGGGGCGGUGGCUAUGCCCGUGUGUGGAUAUAAACAAAUGGGGAAACAGGAAAUGAGCAAGCAAGCUGAAGUGGAGGAGGGGUGUUCCAGGCAGAGGGAGCAGCAGGUUUGAAGACACUAGUGGACAGGUUGGAGGUGAGCAGGGCUGGAUGGAGGGAAGGAGAGGGAGGGAGGAAAGAUCACAGAAGUAGGGCCUGGGAGAUGAGUAGGAGGAGUGGAUGCUGAACUUUUCAUGUUUACCUGUAACUGUUCUGUAGAGGCCAAGUCUUCACCUGGUUCACACAUUCGAAUGAAAGGGCAGACGUAGAGAUGCCUCACCUGUCCAGCCCUUGUCACUUAACAAAAUGUUGGAAUAUCCUGCAUGGCUCUCCACAUCCGUGCAUGUAGAGCCUCCUCAUUCUUUUUUAAGCAGCAUAAUUAAUUCUCCAGAUACUGGCAAUUUCCUCACCCUAGGGCCUGUCCCAUUUUACAGCCCCACCAGCAGGUGAGAGUCCUGGCUCCCCUGUGCCUCACCCACAGGACACUGCCACUCACUGGUCGGGGAACAUAUGCAACCUGGGAUGGGACAUGUGGUCACUCAGUAAGGGGCUUUAUUUUAUUUACUUACCUAUUUAUUUAUUUAUUUACUGUUUAUAAAUUAUUCAUUUCUUUAUUUGCUAACUGCCGGUGGGCUUUAUUUUUAAAUAUUUUUCAACUGAGGGGAAACAUAACAUAAAAAUAACC